UUCCACUUUCCUCUUCUGCACUCAAGUCUCCCAGUUUCCAAUGACCCUCCACGGUUGAGCCGUGGGCUUUCACAUCAGACUUAAGAAACCACCUGCGCGCGCUUUACGCCCAAUAAUUCCGGAUAACGCUUGCCACCUACGUAUUACCGCGGCUGCUGGCACGUAGUUAGCCGUGGCUUUCUGGUUAGGUACCGUCAAGGUGCCAGCUUAUUCAACUAGCACUUGUUCUUCCCUAACAACAGAGUUUUACGACCCGAAAGCCUUCAUCACUCACGCGGCGUUGCUCCGUCAGACUUUCGUCCAUUGCGGAAGAUUCCCUACUGCUGCCUCCCGUAGGAGUCUGGGCCGUGUCUCAGUCCCAGUGUGGCCGAUCACCCUCUCAGGUCGGCUACGCAUCGUUGCCUUGGUGAGCCGUUACCUCACCAACUAGCUAAUGCGACGCGGGUCCAUCCAUAAGUGACAGCCGAAGCCGCCUUUCAAUUUCGAACCAUGCGGUUCAAAAUGUUAUCCGGUAUUAGCCCCGGUUUCCCGGAGUUAUCCCAGUCUUAUGGGCAGGUUACCCACGUGUUACUCACCCGUCCGCCGCUAACUUCAUAAGAGCAAGCUCUUAAUCCAUCGCUCGACUGCAUUAUAGA
rnacentral:rRNA from 1 species